UCUGCCAGCUCUUCUAGUUGGUAGCUCUCUUAGGAAGCGAUAGCUGAAACUCGUUUGACAGCUUUUCGGUUCCCAUGCAGCAGCCGCAGCAGCUGAGGAUCUUCUAAUCUAAUGCCCGCCUAAUGCCUAAGCAACCCUGUCAAAAAAAAUUAUUAUUUGAAAAUUUUGUGUGAACCUCAACGAACGACAAAACUUGUUAAAAAGGGUGAAAAAGGUGAGGUGUUUUGUGUGCUACGGUCAGGAACAAGUUUGAAGACAUCAAAAGGCUGCCAAGAUCUUCCUUUAUAUUAAUUGUCACACCAAACAAAAGAAAUUUUGAGCUAGAAAAAUCUAUUUCGCUCUAAGCGAGAAAACGGGUUGCUCGAUCCAAAAGGACUCGCAGCUUUGCAGCUUUCGCAUCGCCACUGAUCAGUUUCAUUUUGCCAGCGAACGCGUCGUGAUCGUAAUGGAAAAGCGCAAAUUUUCAACUAGAUAAUGUGUGCCACGCAAUCAAUUGGGAAAAUCGGAAAAUGGGAAAUCUUUGCUGAUGACUAGCUGGCUGGCGGGCUGGUUGACUGGAUGGAACGAUCUCCCGGUGCACUGCCAAGCGCUGCAACAUCUAUCUGUAUCCAAGGAGGCAACACUGCAAUCAAUAACGUAUAUAAGGCUCAAGUACUGUAUCAAUAUCGAGAAGAGAAAUAUAUAUAGUGCAAAUACAAGCGCAUAUCCUUGACAUUACACAGGCGAAACGGUUUCAAAAUGACGUAAAUUAUUUCAUUAGUUGAAGCGAGAGGCAAAAUGGAUGCUGGACUCGACUUGGCGCUGUUUGCUGUUCACUUUUUUUUCUCAUUUUGUGCACUGUUUUAAUCAGCAAAAGGCAUUCAUCUUGUUUGCCAAACUAAUUUUUUAUCUUGCCAGUUGCCAGUCGCCAGUCGCAGCUGCAGCUUCAGCACUCGGCAGCUGGCCACAGGGGAGCGGAGGAUGUAGUCUGUUCCCGGCGCGUCUUUCAAGCAGCGGGACAAGGAGUUAUAUAUGUGCUUAUCUAGUAUGUAUGAUGUGGUAGCGCACGCUGGUCCCCGAAGAAAUGCACAGAGCCAUGUACAAGCAAACCUUACCACACACACUAUGCAAAAAUAAAACAACAACAAAAACAAAAAAUACCAAAAAAAAAAAACAAAGGGAAGCUGCCAAGUAAAUGGCAAAAACUUUUAACGCCCUCGUCCUGGGCAGCUGCAGCAGCUGCGGACUGCUGCCCGCCUUCCAUUCGCACUCGCAUUUAUUAUACUAACAGUAAAAAAUUACUUUUGCCUGCUAAAAACCCAGCCAGGACGAGCGUUUCCAAGGGAAUUGCACGGCAGUCAGCCGUGGCAGCAAUGCUGGCAAAUGGAAAAAGGACAUUCGUUAUGCUUAAGCAGAAGAAUACGAAACUGUACUUGACAGCAGACGCCCAGAGCACAGAGCAUCGCUCCCACUCUGCCAGCAGCCAGCUAAACUAAUAGCACAAGCGAGCACCGUAUACUCGUAUAUAUUUUAUAUACCUAUACCUACAUUUAUAUAUAUACACACAUAUAUAUAUAUGUAAGUAAGCAAGAACAAAUAAAAGCAAAGGGAAAAAAACCAGAGCAAUGGCCAACUGCAGGAAGCAAGCAGCUUCUUGGCCAGCCAAAGGGUUUGUCCUUGUCUGUUCGCCUGGGUGUUUGUAUGUGUGUGUGUGAGAGCUCUGUUGCCAGCUCGUUGGCUGCUUGGCUGAGGGGUUGUUUGUUGCUGGGCUAAAGUAAAAUGGCGUCGCCUUAAUUUAUUUUAAGUGGUUGAUGGUUUUAACUUGCAGCAGGCAAAAGAAAAUGCUUUUAAAGCUCACUUUUUGCUGCGCUUAGAUGAAGCUGGGCUAACUGGAGUGUUGGGCAUGGAAGAACUCUCGACGGUCGGUCCGACCACAGCACUGCAAACGUGCAACCGAAGCUGUCCCAUUAUGCUGUAGGGCAGGCAGUCCACUAGCCAGGCAACCUGCCAGCCUGGCUUUGUCUUUUCUAUAAACCAUUAUGCAAAUAGCCUCACUGGUUACCCAAAAAAGAAGCAACUCGACCCGAGUACAAGUCAAAUUUAUAGCCGACUUAACAAUUUGCACAACUUUGCUGGAGCCAGGGCCACAGACAGAGCCAAUGCCGCCGGCUGCAGCAAAGCAAACCCAAACGCAAGCUACAGGAGAAAUCUCGAAAAAUUGCAAAAACGAUUAAAUAUAGGCAAGCAGCAGCAGCAACAACAACCACAACAACAACAAUGCCCAGCUGAAGCCCCACACGGACCUGAAAUGAAAGCAAACGAAUACAAAUUAAAAUCGUCCCCUUAAGUUGGCUGGCUGCUCGGUGGCGCCAUAAAAAGUAUGCGCCUGCUCAGCCAGACAAUCCAGUUCAGUUCAGUUCAGCUCAGCCCAAGCCGAAGCCCAAGUCCGACCUGGCCAGGCCAGUCUAGGCCAGUCCAGCCCAGUCCAGCCCAGUCCAGUUUGUGCCGAGCCCAUUCAAAGCCAGCCCAGCCGCCCAUUUCUUCUACGGCAUCGACCGCUUUAUGCAUAGGGGAGUCAUUAUAUUGAAUUGAACGUAAAAGCGCAGAUAAAAUGUGCAACAAAAGGACCAGCAGCAGGACGCAGCCAAGCCAAGUAUGUUGACUCGCAAUCUCGUUGGCCCGAUGCAGUUAAGUGGACCAGCCCCAGCAACAGCCCCAGCACCAGCAUGAACACCAACAGACGCCAUCGUCAACCUCGCUCGUUGCUAGUCGAAAAGCCAGUAAAGCAAUUGAGGCCUCAGACACUUAAAAUGUAAGCCAAAGGCCGCCCCUGUAGAUGUCUAUGUGUGUGGCUGUGUGUGUGUAUGUAAGUUUGCCCAGUGUUCAUAGCUGUCAGCUAUAAGACACACGCCUGAGCGCCCAGCAGCUGCGAUUGAGUUGCCUGCCUUGGCAGACAGCCUAGGCCAGACGAUAGGCAGGCGACAGAAAGGAUAACUGGAUAACUCCAUGUAUGUCUGGCACAUGUGUGAAGAGCCCAAAUGCUCGUCAAUAGGGUGACUCAGUAUAAAUUUAAUUUUUAAAAAUUAGUAUAGGAUGGAAAAACUGAAUUCAUUUCAUAAAUGUUUAUAAAUUAAAAUUAAAUUUUCAGUUAUCUGUGACAAGCUUUCUAAUCUUUUAAAAUAACUAUAAUAUAUUUGGUCAUGUUAUAAAUUCAUAAUUUAAAUAAUUUGUAAGCUACAAUUGAACUUUUA